CACAGCAGUCAACCCAUCAGUCACGCUGUGACAGAUCAAGUCAAGAAAAGACACCAGCCAUGAAUCAGUGCUCGUCUCCCACGGAUAGGCACCCGCUUGUCUCUAGAUGGCCCUCGCCGUAGGACAACGUAGAAUGGUGUGCUCCACAGACUCCUCCACCCCACACACUGGACACAGGGUGGGAAUCUUCAUACACCUGUCUCUAAGGAGAGCCCGAGUGGGAAGCCGGUUCUAGGUAAGCUUCUAGAGAAAAAUCUGCACCCUGGUAUGAGCAGUCACUCUCCAGAUCCAAGCAGACUCGAUCUCCUCAGUCGGCAUCGGACCAUAC
rnacentral:lncRNA from 1 species